rnacentral:lncRNA from 1 species
UGAAUAAUGAAGUAGUCUUGAAUCCCAAUAAAAUUUGAUUUUUUUUUUAAUAAUAAAAUAAUUUUUUAUUAAAUUAUUCAAUCUUUAUUGGGUUUUUAGAUUCAUCUUUUCUUCAUCAUGAAAAAAGAUGAAUUUAUCAAUAUAGUUAUCAUUAACUUAGGAUUAUCGACAUAGCUAUGAUAACUAUACCCCUCGACGUAUGAUCAUUUGAUGCGUGAUAUUCCAAUCUUAUGAUGGUCCCCAUGAUAUUCCAAACUUAGCUAUUUAUUGGCUAGAAAUAUGCUUUUUUAUUUAAAAUGUAGUAAGAAUGUAGCAAUUGCUUACUAUCUUGGAGAUCUAAUUCAGUUCCAGAUGAUGAUAAUCUUGGUGCCUGUGUUUAAAUCUGGAUUAUUAUACCAUCUUAAACGAUUCAGUAUUCCAUUGCAUAUUAUUACUACUAAAAUUAUUAACACUAUCAAAACAAUCCAUCCUAAGUCAAGGAAAAUCUGUAUUUAUUGGUUCGAGU